UACGAAGGGGGCUAGCGUUGUUCGGAAUCACUGGGCGUAAAGCGCAUGCAGGCGGGUCGAUAAGUUAGGGGUGAAAUCCCGAGGCUCAACCUCGGAACUGCCUCUGAUACUGGCGAUCUUGAGUCCGGGAGAGGUGAGUGGAACUGCGAGUGUAGAGGUGAAAUUCGUAGAUAUUCGCAAGAACACCAGUGGCGAAGGCGGCUCACUGGCCCGGUACUGACGCUGAGGUGCGAAAGCGUGGGGAGCAAACAGG
rnacentral:rRNA from 1 species